rnacentral:rRNA from 1 species
AGAAUGAACGCUGGCGGCGUGCUUAACACAUGCAAGUCGAGCGAGGCCAGGGGGGCAACUCCCUGAGUCGAGCGGCGGACGGGUGAGUAACACGUGGGUAACCUACCCGGAAGUGGGGAAUACCUCGGGGAAACUCGAGCUAAUACCGCAUAACAUCUUCGGGACGAAAGUCCUGACGAUCAAAGCGGGGUCGCAAGAUCUCGCGCUACCGGAUGGGCCCGCGCCCGAUUAGCUAGUUGGUGAGGUAAUGGCUCACCAAGGCGACGAUC